rnacentral:tRNA from 1 species
GCCGCCGUAGCUCAGCGGUCAGAGCGCCCGGCUCAUAGCAUGGGCUAUGAGCUCUGACCCGAAAGGGGAUGAUCUCGGGGGCUCUUAUGCCCCCUCGUGAGAAACCGGGAGGUCGCGGGUUCGAAUCCCGCCGGCGGCA